AUUGAACGCUGGCGGCAUGCCUUACACAUGCAAGCCGAACGGUAACAGGGAGCUUGCUCCGCUGACGAGUGGCGAACGGGUGAGUAAUAUAUCGGAACGUACCAUUGAGUGGGGGAUAACGUAGCGAAAGUUGCGCUAAUACCGCAUAUUCUCUCCGGAGGAAAGCAGGGGACCGCAAGGCCUUGCGCUCAUUGAGCGGCCGAUAUCAGAUUAGCUAGUUGGUGGGGUAAAAGCUCACCAAGGCGACGAUCUGUAGCGGGUCUGAGAGGAUGAUCCGCCACACUGGAACUGAGACACGGUCCAGACUCCUACGGGAGGCAGCAGUGGGGAAUUUUGGACAAUGGGGGCAACCCUGAUCCAGCCAUGCCGCGUGAGUGAAGAAGGCCUCGGUUGUAAGCUCUUCUAGCCGGAGAAACGACAUUGGUUAAUACCUGAUGUGGAUGACGGUACCGGAAUAAGAAGCACCGGCUAACUACGUAGCCAGCAGCCGG
rnacentral:rRNA from 1 species